AAAGCCAUAUCAGAUAGGCACGUAAAAAAACAAAUACGACAUGAUAAACACAAUUUCAUAUCCCAUCGAUAAAACAUUUAGGACUUCGUCCUUAUUUAAAAGAAAGCCCACAUAUGUGAUACUGUGUAUACUCCCUUCAAAAACAAUUUACACACAUACUUCCUGUUUUCAAAACAAGAGAAUGGGUAGAGGCCCAAGUUUUUUUUUAAAAACAAAACACAACUAAUUGGCCCAAAACAAUUAAAAGAAAUACUAUUAGUUUUUUAAAUGUAACACACGUACCCUCCCAUUCACUUUCAACAUAUUAUUAAGGGAUUAACAAAUAAAAUAAUAAUAAAAAAUUCAAGUACUUCCUUUCCCCAAAAGAAACCGUCGGCUACUCUUCUAUCUCUCCACUGAAAUUCUCAAAAGAACACACCUAAAUUUCAUUUGAUGAACAAAGCCAAAAAAAUCUCUAAUUCACUUCUCCCAUUUCCUUUCCCAAGUUGAAACAUGAAAUGAUAAUACACACACGCACCAACAUCACGAAUUUACAACACCCGGAGUCCACCGUCUCUCCCAGUCGUCGCUCAGCGCCGCUCGGGCAGCCUCAACUUCGUCUGAAACAGCCCCGUUUCUACCCCGAUUAUCCCCGCAGAUAAGUUCUUAAAUUGGGUUCGUGAAUUACAGCUUGAAACUUUGAUUUAGAUUGUUCAGAUUAUCUAUUUGCUUGAGCGAGAAACAUGCUAUGCAGUUCAUGGAUUGAAGAAUUGAAUUGGGGAAGAAGAUUAUACCUUCAAAAGAACAAUUGGCUUGAAACAGAAGAAGAUUGAAGCUUCUGGCUUUUCCCUUUUUACUGUUCCCUCCGCCGUUUUUUUUGAAAGAUUUGCAAGAAGGAGGAGCGGUUAUGAGCGUGGGAGAGGGAACGUAAAACAGGUAAUUGAUUCUCAAAAUAAAAGGAAUUUAAGGUCGAUGGAUGAUCUAAUUUUGGAGCAGAUUGAAGAAGGGAAGGGAAAAAAAUGCGUUAGUUGAUUUCACAAUCAAUUUGGACUCUAAUUGCUGCCUUUGACAAAAUCUGAAUUAGUUACUCAUUGGAAGAAGAAAUACGGCAGAUUGAGAGGAGAAUUACUGCGCUGGAAUCUUCUAGUUUCUUGGAAUAAUUUAGUAGGAUUUAAUUUGUUGGGCUCAAUAGGAAUUGAGAUUGGGCCAGGGGAUAUCAUUUGAGUAGGUAUUAGUUUGGGCUCAAGGCCUAAAUUAGAAUUUUAUUUAAAUUGUGUAGACACCAAUUUAUUCUUUAUUGGAUUGGACUUGUAUCAAUUAUUUAAUUCAUCAGAUGUGUUGGAAAUUA